rnacentral:lncRNA from 1 species
CCUUGAAUGGGGCGUGCCCAUCACUGCUUUUGUCAUAGUGCCUCAGAUUGGAAUGACCCCCGCCCAGGAGAGUGGCCAAGCACACUGUGGCCCACUCAUACAUCAGAAGAUUACACACUGGAUAAAAUGACACAAGCCACCUGCUACACACCAUGGUGCAGAAAGGAGGUGUUCCAAGGGGAACUCAGAAGAGCAGGGAAGGAGAAUAGAGUGACGCUACUGCUGGGAAAGAGAAGGUCCAGUGCGUUCUUGCCAGAAAGGUUUUCAGACUCUGUCUCAACUCUGCUGUGACCACCAUGCCCAGCCCUGUGCUGUGCUGCCCACCAGGCCUCAGCUGUGCCCCACAUGGGCAGUGGGCCAAGGGUGGCGUCUCUCCCUCCUCCACAGGUGACAGCAGAGAAAACACAGCCUCACGUAGACCCUCCCUUCUCGAAAGGAGCCGACAGUCCUGAUCCCAGGCCCCAAAGCUCCUCUCAACCAUCAGCCCCAAUCACAACGACUCAACAACUCGACCUGCCUGCACACAACCUCAGCUCUGCACUUAGGACCUGCCCAAGCCAGCCUUCACCUUGGGAGCUGAAAAGUUCACAUCAAGCAGAUUUUCCUCCAGUGUCCUUGACAGGAAAGCUACAUCUGAGAGCGUUUAACCCCAAACUCCAAAGCUGCAAACAGUCAAGAGAACCUAGGCCAGAGCGAGGCCUGCACAGCACAGUGCACGGGCCCUCGGGACAGACGUCCAAGGGACCUGGAUAGCACUCUUUUGCCCGCCCUGGUCUGUCUGUCCUAGCACCCAGGAUGUCCCUUCUCCCCCAGGGGUGACCCUCUCACUAUAAGAGACCCUGAACUAACUACAAA